GUAGGUGGCAAGCGUUAUCCGGAAUUAUUGGGCGUAAAGCGCGCGCGGGCGGUUUCUUAAGUCUGAUGUGAAAGCCCACGGGCUCAACCGUGGAGGGUCAUUGGAAACUGGGGAACUUGAGUGCAGAAGAGAAAAGCGGAAUUCCACGUGUAGCGGUGAAAUGCGUAGAGAUGUGGAGGAACACCAGUGGCGAAGGCGGCUUUUUGGUCUGUAACUGACGCUGAGGCGCGAAAGCGUGGGGAGCAAACAGGAUUAGAUACCCUGGUAGUCCACGCCGUAAACGAUGAGUGCUAAGUGUUAGAGGGUUUCCGCCCUUUAGUGCUGCAGCUAACGCAUUAAGCACUCCGCCUGGGGAGUACGGUCGCAAGACUG
rnacentral:rRNA from 1 species